ensembl:lncRNA
GCUGUGUGUUUGUGUGAAAAUGGAAAAAGAAGGAAAUUCCUUCCACGUUUGUAAAAGCUACAAUUUGGCCUGACUAGGGAGCUGAUUAGUGCAGUCCUCUCCUGACGUGUGUGAAUGUGUGUGUAAAGCGAGAAAACCCCGAUUCCAAAUGACACAGAGAAUGGAGAAGGAACCUGAGUAAAUGGAACUGGAUCAAAAAUUUUGACUUUUCACCAACCUUCUAUCUUUUGAAAGUUUUUUUUUUUUUUUUGGGGGGGGGUAGACAAAAUGAGACCAGCAAAAACACACAGUAUGCCAAAAGUGCUUAGAAACCUGCGGAUAGGUGUGUUCCUGGCAGGUGAAGUUUCAUCACUGGAGCCUUCUUUAUUUCCACCUCGUCAUAUUUAUUACCACUCUGUCACAUUUAAAGUACAUUGAAGCAGCUCUUCAAGCUGAGAAACGCUGCAGAACCGGGUUUGUUUUGACAUACCCAGACACAACGUCUGCUAAUCUAACACCUCUGACUCACUGGGACAGCUGGAGUCAACGUGAAAUAAAAGAUGGACGUAAUCGUAGUCAAAGGGCAUUUAAAAGGGAUUGGACAGCUGGAAGGGUAUUUUUGGGGGGUGGAGAUUUGUCAUCCUAGUCUGAUUAGGUUAUUUAAGAGGAUAUAUUUUUAGGAGGAAUUGUUCCAAAUGCACUGGUUAUUUCUGAAGGGCAGUAUGAAAUGAUAUUCACAUCUUUCUAUCCUAUCUCUCUCUUGCUAAUCAAUAUCUAAAGAUAUGAAUGGCACACAAAUUGGAAUAACAGCCACCGUAAUACAAAGUACCAUGAACCUAAUUUGUUUUAUUUUUUUUGGAUGUAUGUAAAUGCAUAUGUAUAUACACAAUGAGAAAAUGGACAAUUUUGUAAACUGGGAGUCCUUUUUAUUAAAAGAGCAGUAUAUAUACAGUAUAUGUGUAAAAUAUGGAAAGUAUUUUUCUUAUUCUUGUACUUUUGUAUGUAUAUUGGAAUCCAGGAGAAGACGUUUCUAUUUCUUUCGCGUGUGUGGAAACAAAUGGAAAUCUGAAGAAAUCUAUGAUUUUAUUAUAAUCAGAUGGGUGGAGGUGUAUCAUACUGUGAAUGCAAAUAUGCGAAUUUUAAAUUGUUCUAUGGAAAUAAAAGUAUUCGAAACAAUGCACGUUUACUGUAUUAUUUAGGGUUUGUUUUUUUAAAUGGCUGUUUAAAUGAACCUACAUAAUUUCAGUCACAAUCCCCAAGAUUUGUCUAGAAAUCGAUAAAUAAUACAACUUUGCUCAUUCUACAAAGUAGUGAAAAGCAUUUUCACACUAAAUCCCAA